GUCCCGGUUUUACCGGGGCCGGUGUCAGGCUCCGAGGUGCCGGUAGGGAGGGGAUGUGAUUGCCGGCGAAGCGGACUCGGGAUGGAUAGAGCUAUCUGGGCGCCGCCGGAGAGCUCCUUUGUGGUUCCGUGCAGGUCACGGAUGCUGUAUCCAGCUGUAGUGCCGGCGGGCUGUGAAAUUCACGAUUAGCUCUGGCUACAUGGCUCCGGCGUUGGCUUCGUCAAAGGAAACGCCGCUCGCUUUAUUCCCUGCAAUGCACCCGCUCGCUGCGUGCCUGCGCCGCGCGGAGGAGCGGACUUGGCGGGGACUUGGGCAGAAACUUCGGCGCUGCCCCUGCCGGAUCGCGGCGCGCCGGCAGCCUCGCGCGCGCGGCGGUGGCUGGCGUCUUCUCCAACUUUAGGGGGAGGAAAGGAGGAAAAAAAAAAAAAAUGUGGAUGUGAUUAAAAUAUUAUAACCUUAUGAUAUCCUGAAGUGCAUAAAUUUUACAUAUCAGCUACAGAGGGAGUUUAGACAUCCAUUAAAUGAUAUGACAGCUUGACUUA